CCUACGGGAGGCAGCAGUAGGGAAUCUUUCACAAUGGGCGAAAGCCUGAUGGAGCAACGCCGCGUGCAGGAUGAAGGCCUUCGGGUUGUAAACUGCUUUUAUAAGCGAGAAAUAUGAUGGUAACUUAUGAAUAAGGAUCGGCUAACUACGUGCCAGCAGCCGCGGUCAUACGUAGGAUCCGAGCAUUAUCCGGAGUGACUGGGUGUAAAGAGUUGCGUAGGUGGCAUAAUAAGUAGCUAGUGAAAACUGGUGGCUCAACCAUUCAGACUAUUAGCUAAACUGUUAAGCUCGAGACCGUUAGGGGUAAGUGGAAUGUCGGGUGUAGGAGUGAAAUCCGUAGAUAUUAGGAGGAACACCAAUAGCGUAGGCAGGUUGCUGGGACGGUACUGACACUAAGGCACGAAAGCGUAGGGAGCAAACAGGAUUAGAUACCCCUGUAGUC
rnacentral:rRNA from 1 species